AUGGUUAGGAUGUCAAGCACUCUUGUUUUGAAUGUUGUGUUGAUGACUGAUGUGCUCCCACACUACGUCCAACUUGCGUUUUUACAAGGGUUUGACUAUUCCUUUGCAAGCCUGGGAAAGAGGAAAAUUCACAUUUUACACAAAAUUAAAGUCCUGCCUGACAGCUCCCCAUCUGCUGGCCAUGUCCCAGUUGUAUUGCUACUCUGGUGCAGGCUUAGCUCCCCUCAAAGUUCCCAAAGAAAUUAUUUUGUGCAUCUUACCAUCGGGUUGACCCACCCCAUGCAAACAUCCCCAACAGGCAAAAGCUGUGGGGAUUUAGAGGCGAAACAUGAACACUGCACUCACAGUGGUGGCUUGGAGAAAAAUGCAGACGAAGGACCGAGCUUGCAGACUCUGCCUGUAAAUGCCACCGGCACACGCAGGGAGAGAGCUGAAAAAAGCCGGCCGCUGCAGACUUGCACAACUGGACGGCCCCUGGCAGCUGGAGAGGAAGCAGCACGUAAUGAGCCCCAGGUGGAGGCAGCAGCUCAAGCUCUGCGAUGGCAGCUCCCCACGCCCUAAAACAAGGGAGCCACCGGGAAGGCAGCCGGGGAACACCACUUCAGCCCAGGCUGGUGAGCAAAUGCAGAUGAGGGCUGGGGUAAGGCAAGGACUAAAGGCAAAUCUUCGAGGAAGUAGAGGAUCUGAAGUCAAACUCCCUCUGAGUUCAACAAGCCUCAGAGAGCGCCUGGGUCAUGCCACCAAUGAGUCACUUCUGCCAGAUGGGGAGAGUCUGGCCAACACAGGCAUCAGCUGGUCCGUGCAGCCCUCCUUGCUCUUCUGACCCCGUGGAAGGAAACCUGAGCUUCUGCAUCACUGCAUUUCAAAAGGAAAGGAAAUUAAAUUUUUCACAGAGGAAAUACCUGUUGCUUAUCAGUGUAAGCAUGAGAGAAAUUGACGCAGCCCCCCACACCUCCUUUCAUGCCUCCUGCUCACUUAAACUCACACUAACACAUCAGAGCAAGCUCAGAGAGUGGUGCUGGCUGUUGACACAAUACCCAGCUGGGAUAUCACAUGCUGCCCUCCCCAAGGCCAGCAGCACCCCUCGAUCACAUGCAGGUGAAGGAGGAAGGUGUUGCAGGACCGAGUGCAAACUCGCCCAGGGAGAAACCUGUAUGUCUGCAUUCCCACCACCUCCUCUGAGGGUCCAAGGAGAUGGUAAGGGAUGUCACUCUCCCUUCACAGGGUGACUGGGACAUUCCUCUCUGCCCCAGGUAUCAUGGACACAGUAGCAGGGGUCAAGGAAGGUUUGGUAGGGGAAGGGAGAUGGAGGGACUGACUGUUUUACAGCAGUAAAGUAUGUACAUCUGCAAAGUAUGUACUUUGCAGAUGCAAAUCUGUAACACUAAACCGAGAUAUUUACAGGAGGUUUUUUUCCACCUAUCACCAGCUAAGGAAGAAAAUACUUUUGAGGAGGCCUUUGGAGAAAGCUGGCAGCACAUCACUGGAAAUACCUUGGCUGAAUGCAAGCCAGCUGAAUUUAACAUGAAGAAUGAGUUACAGAAGCAACUGCCUAAGCAGUGUUUAAUACAAUAACCUGAACUAACCUUUUUGUUCAGGUUGGCAGAGGAAUGUUUGCUUCACACCUCACCAGGAGAAGGUUCAUGGCAACAGAACCAGGACUCUGAAAGCACGCUGAAACCAGCAACGCCCCUGACUCAAAGCUAAAAAACUCCAUUUUUGAAAAUGCCAAAUGGAUUUUAUUAUUAAUUACUUCUUUCUUUGCCUUACCCCUGUCACAACACAGAAAGCAGAAGUUAGAAAAAAGCUGAGCUAUCUACACAGGGAAGAUGUGCUUUCUGUCAUGAACAGAAGUUGAUCUGUUUGCAUCAGAGCAAGAUUUGCUGUUGUGGUUAGUGUAGUGGAGUAGCAGAGAUCAGAUGCCUUUCAAAACAGUACAAAAAACUAGUCAAAAUAUCUCUAACCUAGUUAAAUGGACUAUGCAUGAUACUGUGUAAGCACUCUCAAGUCAAACAGAGAAAUGAUAGAGGGAAGAGUUCAAACAAGGAAUGAGACUAGAAGUACAAAAGAAAAUAAAACAUUGGACACAAGGUCA
rnacentral:lncRNA from 1 species